CGCGGCCUAUCAGCUUGUUGGCGAGGUAACGGCUCACCAAGGCAACGACGGGUAGCUGGUCUGAGAGGAUGGCCAGCCACAUUGGGACUGAGAUACGGCCCAGACUCCUACGGGAGGCAGCAGUGGGGAAUCUUGCGCAAUGGCCUAACGGCUGACGCAGCGACGCCGCGUGUAGGAUGAAGCUCUUCGGAGUGUAAACUACUGUUGCCCGGGACGAAUAGCUCGAUUAAUCGAGCCUGACAGUACCGGGUGAGGAAGCACCGGCUAACUCCGUGCCAGCAGCCGCGGUAAUACGGGGGGUGCGAGCGUUGUCCGGAAUCACUGGGCGUAAAGGGCGCGUAGGUGGUUUGAUAAGGGUGUGGUGAAAGUCCGGGGCUCAACCCGGGAUCUGCCGUGCCGACUGUCAAACUCGAGGACUGUAGAGGCAGACGGAAUUCCGGGUGUAGCGGUGGAAUGCGUAGAGAUCCGGAGGAAGACCGGUGGCGAAGGCGGUCUGCUGGGCAGUUUCUGACACUGAGGCGCGACAGCGUGGGGAGCAAACAGGAUUAGAUACCCUGGUAGUCCACGCCGUAAACGAUGGGUACUAGGUGCCUGGGGGAGCGACCCUCUGGGUGCCGGCGCUAACGCAGGAAGUACCCCGCCUGGGGAGUACGGA
rnacentral:rRNA from 1 species